GGAGAAAUACCCAAGUGGUUGAAGGGGCUAGUUUGCUAAACUGGUAGGGUUCGCAAGGGCCGCGAGGGUUCGAAACCCUCUUUCUCCGCCA
rnacentral:tRNA from 1 species